UACGGAGGGUGCAAGCGUUAAUCGGAAUUACUGGGCGUAAAGCGUGCGCAGGCGGUUUGUUAAGUCCGUUGUGAAAGCCCCGAGCUCAACUUGGGAAUUGCAGUGGAUACUGGCAGGCUGGAGUACGGUAGAGGAAGGUGGAAUUCCCGGUGUAGCAGUGAAAUGCGUAGAGAUCGGGAGGAACACCAGUGGCGAAGGCGGAUCUCUGGGCCAUUACUGACGCUGAGGAGCGAAAGCGUGGGGAGCGAACAGG
rnacentral:rRNA from 1 species